CAAAUUAGAGCUUGAGGUAAGUAUUUCAUUUACAUUGGAAAGAUAUUGAUUUUAUUAAUUAAUUUGA
rnacentral:tRNA from 1 species